GCCCUCCUAUUCACAAAACGGCAGCGGCCGCGGCGGGGCCCCGCGCCGCCGCCCCCCCCCCCGGCGGAGCGCAGCGGAGCGGAGGGAAGGGGAGGGGAGGGCGGGCAGCGCCCCGCCGUCUCGGCGACGGGGCCGGGCGGCCCGGCAGCCGUGCGGGCAGGCCCCGAGCGGCGCCCCGCAGCCCCCCGCCCCUUCCGCCGCCGCCGCACGGCAGGCGCCGACGGGAAAAGCCGCCCCCGGGGCAGCGCUCCCGGGCCCGGUGCUCCCGGGGCGUUUUUAUGAAUGAAAAUGCGCUCCGGUGUAAUCGAGCAGUCCUGGGAAAAGAAGCCUCCGUCCUGCUGAAACACGUCGUCUCCCCUCUGGCUUCCGCGAGCUCCUCAGCCGCAGGAUCUCUGCCUCCCGUCGAAGCCAAGGCGCCGGGCCCGCGGCAGGGGGGUAUCCAGCCUCCGCGCGAGGAAGGCAGCUGCCAAUCCACCUUUCCAGUCUAGUCUGCUGGCCUUAGUUCUGAAGGGAUGUUCCGAUCUGUAGGGGUGGCCGGGAGGUCUGCGUGUUUCUGCUCUGUUGGGUUGCAGAUCCUAAAUGGUCUAAAUUCCCUUUUCAGAAUCAGAAGUGGAAACUUGGAAAAAACCUGUGGACUGCGACCAACUUGCUGGCGUCCAUCCGUGGAGGAAAAAGUCACUUCAAGGCUCUUUAUGAGUUGCUUACACCUAAGGGGAAGCGGAGCGUCCUUUGGAGACGGUAUCGGAAUCCACAGUUUUGGUCACAUUACAAUAUUAAAGUAAUGUAUUUUUACUUGCUAGA